AAUCAACGCUGGCGGCGUGCCUAACACAUGCAAGUCGAACGCGAAAGCCCGCAAGGGUAAGUAGAGUGGCGCACGGGUGAGUAACACGUGGACAACCUGCCUUCGAGUGGGGAAUAACCUUCCGAAAGGAGGGCUAAUACCGCAUAACACCUCGGGACACAAGUUCUGGGGUUGAAAAGAGCAAUUUGCUCGAAGAGGGGUCCGCGUCUGAUUAGCUAGUUGGUGAGGUAACGGCUCACCAAGGCUUCGAUCAGUAGCCGUCCUGAGAGGGAGCACGGCCACACUGGAACUGAGACACGGUCCAGACUCCUACGGGAGGCAGCAGUGGGGAAUUUUUGGCAAUGGGCGAAAGCCUGACCAAGCAACGCCGCGUGGGUGAUGAAGUAUCUUGGUACGUAAAACCCUUUCGGCAGGGACGAACCUAAUGACGGUACCUGCGGGAAGAACGCCCCGGCCUAACUCCGUGCCAGCAGCCGCGGUAAU
rnacentral:rRNA from 1 species